UCACCGUUUGCACGGGCAGUUUCUCUAGAGUCCCCGACAUUACUCGCUGGCAACUAAAGAUAGGGGUUGCGCUCGUUAUGGGACUUAACCCGACACCUCACAGCACGAGCUGACGACAACCAUGCAGCACCUUGAGAACCGUCCGAAGAAAGGUCUGUUUCCAGACCGGUCGUUUCCCAUUUAAGCCCAGGUAAGGUUCCUCGCGUAUCAUCGAAUUAAACCACAUGCUCCACCGCUUGUGCGGGCCCCCGUCAAUUCCUUUGAGUUUCAAUCUUGCGACCGUAUUCCCCAGGUGGAUUACUUAUCACUUUCGCUUAGGCACUAACCGUAUAUCGCUAGCACCGAGUAAUCAUCGUUUACGGCGUGGACUAC
rnacentral:misc_RNA from 1 species